rnacentral:misc_RNA from 1 species
CUUCAGAUGAUGAUCCCAAGCCUUCUGGCGUUCUGUUCAUCAAAUUUCAAAAGCGUUUAAGAAACAGGUAAAAAGCGUUUAAGCAGAUAUAAAGCGUUUAAGAAACAUAUAAAGAAGGUGUUUAAGAAACAUAUCUGUUUCUUAAACAUAUCUUUUGUUUUCUUUUAUCUGUCCCGAGGAAGGUUUUUACCGAUUUACUCCUGAGGGCUUGUAGCUCAGUUGGUUAGAGCGCGCGCUUGAUAAGCGUGAGGUCGGAGGUUCAAGUCCUCCCAGGCCCACCAAUUUAUGAUUGCUGAUAAGUUUGCUGAUAAGUUUUUUGCGAAUGUUUUGAUGGUCUUUUAUCUUACGAUCUUUCACUUUUAUGUUGCAAUCUUUCAAAAGUAUUUGAACUGUUUUAGGGGCCGUAGCUCAGCUGGGAGAGCACCUUCUUUGCAAGCAGGGGGUCGUCGGUUC